GGCUACCACAUCUAAGGAAGGCAGCAGGCGCGUAAAUUACCCAAUUCUAACACAGAGAGGUAGUGACAAGAAAUAACAGUACAAGGCACAUUGUGCUUUGUAACUGGAAUGGAUGAGAAGUAAAACUUCUUAUGAGUAACAAUUGGAGGGCAAGUCUGGUGCCAGCAGCCGCGGUAAUUCCAGCUCCAAUAGCGUAUAUUAAAGUUGUUGCAGUUAAAAAGCUCGUAGUUGAAUUUCUGCCGUUUAAAACACAUGAAAUAUUAUUAUAUAAUAUAUGCGUGUGUUUUUUCGGCAUAUUUCUAUAUUUUAAAAGUUCAUUAAUUAAGUUGAUGUAACUUUUAAAAAAUAGAUCGUUUACUUUGAGAAAAUUAGAGUGUUUCAAGCAGGUAUAUUACGCUUUGAAUACUACAGCAUGGAAUAAUAAUAUAAGACUUUGGUUUUAUUUUAUUGGUUUCUGAACCAAAGUAAUGAUUAAUAGGGACAGUUGGGGGCAUUUGUAUUCAGCAGUCAGAGGUGAAAUUCUUAGAUUUGGUGAAGACAAACUAAUGCGAAAGCAUUUGCCAAAAAUGUUCUCAUUAAUCAAGAACGAAAGUUAGGGGAUCGAAGACGAUCAGAUACCGUCGUAGUCUUAACUAUAAACUAUGCCGACUAGAGAUUGGAGGUGUUUAUUUAUUUGACUUCUUCAGAAUCUUAUGAGAAAUC
rnacentral:rRNA from 1 species